rnacentral:lncRNA from 1 species
GUAUAAGGGAGCUACCAUUUGAUUUUUAUGGGGGGGCUAGGAUGAAAUUUGAAAAAAAUAGGCAGGACAGGAGUUUUGAGUAAAAAAAAGGCAGGAUGAGACACUUUGCAAAAAAAAAAGGCAGGAUGACAAUUUAGGUAAAAAAAGUCAGGAUAAACUAAUAAAAAAAAAAGGCAGGACCGAAUAGAGUGAAAAAUAAAAAGGCAGGACAGAGAUUACAACUAAAAAAAAAUGCAGGACAAAAUUUUUCAUCCUAGCCCCCCCAUAAAAAUCAAAUGGUAGCUCCCUAAUGC